rnacentral:rRNA from 1 species
UACGAAGGGGGCUAGCGUUGCUCGGAAUUACUGGGCGUAAAGGGCGCGUAGGCGGACAUUUAAGUUAGAGGUGAAAGCCCAGGGCUCAACCCUGGAAUAGCCUUUAAUACUGGAUGUCUUGAGUUCGGGAGAGGUGAGUGGAAUGCCGAGUGUAGAGGUGAAAUUCGUAGAUAUUCGGCGGAACACCAGUGGCGAAGGCGACUCACUGGCCCGAUACUGACGCUGAGGCACGAAAGCGUGGGGAGCAAACAGG